rnacentral:rRNA from 1 species
GGGUUGUGAGGUUAAGCGACUAAGCGUACACGGUGGAUGCCCUGGCAGUCAGAGGCGAUGAAGGACGUGCUAAUCUGCGAUAAGCGUCGGUGAGGUGAUAUGAACCGUUAUAACCGGCGAUUUCCGAAUGGGGAAACCCAGUGUGUUUCGACACACUAUCAUUAACUGAAUCCAUAGGUUAAUGAGGCGAACCGGGGGAACUGAAACAUCUAAGUACCCCGAGGAAAAGAAAUCAACCGAGAUUCCCCCAGUAGCGGCGAGCGAACGGGGAGGAGCCCAGAGCCUGAAUCAGUGUGUGUGUUAGUGGAAGCGUCUGGAAAGGCGUGCGAUACAGGGUGACAGCCCCGUACACAAAAAUGCACAUAUUGUGAGCUCGAUGAGUAGGGCGGGACACGUGGUAUCCUGUCUGAAUAUGGGGGGACCAUCCUCCAAGGCUAAAUACUCCUGACUGACCGAUAGUGAACCAGUACCGUGAGGGAAAGGCGAAAAGAACCCCGGCGAGGGGAGUGAAAAAGAACCUGAAACCGUGUACGUACAAGCAGUGGGAGCCUCUUAAUGGGGUGACUGCGUACCUUUUGUAUAAUGGGUCAGCGACUUAUAUUCUGUAGCAAGGUUAACCGAAUAGGGGAGCCGAAGGGAAACCGAGUCUUAACUGGGCGUUAAGUUGCAGGGUAUAGACCCGAAACCCGGUGAUCUAGCCAUGGGCAGGUUGAAGGUUGGGUAACACUAACUGGAGGACCGAACCGACUAAUGUUGAAAAAUUAGCGGAUGACUUGUGGCUGGGGGUGAAAGGCCAAUCAAACCGGGAGAUAGCUGGUUCUCCCCGAAAGCUAUUUAGGUAGCGCCUCGUGAAUUCAUCUCCGGGGGUAGA